GCCGAAAACAAACUUUCAGGGCUGGACAUGAAACGCAGGAAGGAAGGUGGAGGGUGACUCUGAGAGACAGCCUGUGGGACACAGGGCACACGAGCUGCCAGUGAAAAUCAGGGGGAGGGCGCAGCACACACCCACAGCCCGAUAUAUAGGCAGGUUGAGAAACAUCUGCCCCAGCCCGACACAACCACCUCUGCAGGGCUGAACACACACGCAGGCUUCAGGCAAACCCAGGCAGGAUCAGGAAAGUGAUUGACGUUUUCCAGAGAUGGGCAAAUCACCGGCACUCCUCUCCCUGAUCUGUUUCUUCCUGUUAGGAUCGUCACUUGGUCAGUCAUCCAGCGGGCAAGGAAAAGGAGAAGGAAAGGGCAAGUGCACAGGCUGGGAGACCAAGCUUGCUGGAAUGCUGACGGCGCCCAUAGACUUCCCACAAUUCCUCAAGGAUAAUGCUCAGAACCUUCCCAAGCUGUCGAGCUCCUGCGUGACGUCCUUCAACGCGUCGGCUAACCUCACCGCUGUGACUGAACUAAUGAAAGUCUUGAACGUGCUCUAUGACCAGCUGAAUGAGGGCACAAGAAAGGCUGUUUAUAUGUGGGUGGAGACCGUCUUCAUGAGCUACCAGGCCAAGAAGCUGGUGAAGCCAGAGGCCACUGUGAACCCUAACCAGCUGAAGCCCGGGGUAACUGCAAAACCUGAUAAUUCAAAUAAUCCCUCUAAGGCCAACGAGAAAGACCAGCAGUCUAGCGCCAGUGGCCAGGGUAAGCUAACUCUGCGUCUUGUGCAGUCACACCCCGAAUUCAAACUGCUCUCCCGGACACUGCCGCCAACCACAGAGAUCACCAUGCUAGAAUGUCAGCCCCUUGGUACACUCUUUUGGAAGAUGUCUUCCAAAAGACUUGUUUUACAUUAGUGUGCUUGGCUGGGAUCAUCUGGUCACAAA
rnacentral:lncRNA from 1 species